UACGAAGGGGGCUAGCGUUGUUCGGAUUUACUGGGCGUAAAGCGCACGUAGGCGGAUCGAUCAGUCAGGGGUGAAAUCCCGGAGCUCAACUUCGGAACUGCCUUUGAUACAGCACGUCUUGAGUCCGAUAGAGGUGGGUGGAAUUCCUAGUGUAGAGGUGAAAAUUCGUAGAUAUUAGGAAGAACACCGGUGGCGAAGGCGGCCCACUGGAUCGGUACUGACGCUGAGGUGCGAAAGCGUGGGGAGCAAACAGG
rnacentral:rRNA from 1 species